rnacentral:lncRNA from 1 species
AGAAGUGACAUAUGCAGCAUGACCAGUGGAAGCUUCGAAGAGCUAUUGCCAAUUUCCACCCUCUCUCUGGAAACUGUCAUUAGGGUUAGGGAAACUGUCAUGAGAUCUGCAUAUUUUAGAUAGAGGCUGCUUGCCUUAUUUGGGCACCUAAUGAAAAAGACAUGGAGGCCAGGUGCGGUGGCUCAUGUCUGUAAUCCCAGCACUUUGGGAGGCCAAGGCGAGUGGAUCACCUGAGGUCAGGAGUUCGAGACCAGCCUGACCAACAUGGCAAAACCCCGUCUGUACUAAAAGUGCAAACACAAAGGGAACUGCGUGGCUUGUUUCUACCUGAACAUUGUCAAGUGAUUUCAUCCUUUGAAACACAGUUGUGAAGUGUGUCCAGCAGUCUGAGAACAAGAAGAAGAAGAAAAUCUAAUCCUUCAGGGUGUCUGUGUGCCAGCCCUGCUCUCAGCACUUCCCAUGUGGAACUCCUUUACUUCUCCUAACAACUCCAUGACAUGGGUUAGACUGUGAUUGUUCCCAUAUUGUUGGUAGGGAAACUGAGGCAUGCAGGUGUUACAGAGCUCUCUCAAGUGGCAAGCUUUCUGGGUGGUUACAGAGUGGCAGAGCUGGGGUAUCCCAUGAUGUCACCACACUGCUAUAUGGAAAAGAACAUUAAUCGAGCACCUACGUGCUUGAUUCUCUUAAUUCUGUGACUGAACUCUCAAAACACCCUGGGUUGGUUUCCUUUUUACAACUGCCCAAGUCAUGAGUUCAUAGGGCCUGGAUGGCUGUACCGGAUUGCUCUCCAGCUGGUCUCUCUGCAUCCAGAAAUUUCUACAACCUACUGGGGUAAAAUCUUUCUCAACCCUGCUUUUCAUCAUCACAUCUUAAAUAUCUCGAGUUGGUUCCCUAUUGCCAAAAAAAAUCCAUUGUCCAUGUAGGGUUCUUCUGCCGAAACGAGGAAAGAGUGAGUUAAAUGUUGGUAGGUGAUAUAGAGAUAGUAAUUAGGCAAUAUAAUUCGAUGUUGUUGAAAGAGCUGAGCUAUGAAAUGCAUUGUGAUAAAGGGGCUGCCUGUGUAAGUAAAUGGGUAUAAUGAGGUGUAAAACUCCCUUUCUCUCUCUCUUUCUGCUUCAUAAGCCUUUCUGCUUCUCAAGUCCAGACCUGCUGUUUUUGGGGUUUCCUUCCAAUUUUUUUGCUGCUUCCCUGGGGCCUUGGCUCUUGGGCCUGCUGCCUCUUCCCACUCUACACCUUUGGAUUCCUUAUCUUUGGCUCCACCUUAUUGCUCCAUUCUCCAAAGACAAAUCCACAAGGCAUAGGAUUUUACAGAAUAUGGGGUUACAGAAACAGCAUAGGGAAGUGUAAAAGCCUAGAAGCUUCUUACAGACGCAGCCCCUUGUCUGUAGCUCCUGACUCCCACUUAAAUGUCUGUUGGAAGCACCCUGGGGUAGCAGAACCCAGCUCAGAAGAUGGGGCUUAUCCACCAUGCCUUUUCCUAACCUGACACCCACCCAGAUAAUCUUUUCAAUAUGCAAACUAGAGCGUAUCACCCCCUGCUCAGAGCCUUUCUGUGACCUCCCAUUUUGCUUCCCAGGACUCCUUGCUCCUUAGCCAGGUCUCCAGGUCCUCCGUGAUCAGGUCUCUGCUCUUCUGCAGCCUCAUCUCUGCCAUUCUUCACCUUUUGUGCUCCAACCCAAUCUGGUUUUCUUCUCAUGCUUUGAACACCCCAAGUCUGUCUGCUUCAGGAGCUUCGUACUGGCUAAUCAUUCACCACAGCAUACUCCCAUCUAUACGGCUGGCUCUUAUAUUAUGGGUCUCAGCUAAAAUGUCAUCCCUUCAAAGAGACCUUCUUGGACCACCCCCGCCAUUCUCUAUCCUAUUUCUCUCUUUUAUUUUCUUUGAAGCACUUACCCACUUUCAGAAACUAUCUGGCUUGCUCAUGUGUUUGUCUCUAGAUUGUCUACUUCCCCUCCUAGACUGUACUCUCCACAAGAGAGCAAAGCUGUGUCUGUUGCAUUCACUGUUGUCUUCCCAGAAGCAAGCAGCAUGCUGGAGACCCUCAAAUACAUGUGAAAUGAAGGGACACCUUGUGUUAUUUCACCUGUUUCCACCUGGUUCCCAAGUGGCAAGCUUGCAUUGAGGUUACAAAGUGGCAAAGCUGGGAUAUCACAUGAUGUCACCAUGAUGCUAUAUGAAAUGUAACAUUAAUUGAGUACCUAUGUGACCAGUUCUUUAAUUCUGUAAGUGAACUCUCAAAAAACCCUAGGUAAGUAUUAUCAACUCGAACUUUAACGGAUGAGGAAACUGGAAUUUUUUAAAAAAUGACUUAACCAAACAUCACAGAGCUGUAAACCAGGAUUUGAAUGGGUGAGCUGCACUCAGCCUUCAUCUCAAGUCAGUUUGCCUCUUUCUCCAAGAAGCCACAGUUGAUCCUGACCACAUCACAUAUGAGUUGCCUGGAUUGCAGUCAUUCAUUCACUAAGCAUCUUUUAGGAGGUCACAUGCCAGGCACCGUGUUAGGUAAUGAUUUCUCCAAGUCACAGGAGCCGUGGUUCUGACUUUAGAAAGUUUCUCAUCUGAUGGGAGGGCAGGCAAGUAAAUCAGUAAGGGUGGUCCCUGUCGGGACACUGGUUGAGAAAUACCCAGGAACACUCUGAUUGAGAAAUACCCAAAGUGCAAAGUGACAGGGACUAGAGGCAUCUCCACUGGACCAGAGAGCUCUGGAUUCGUCUUGAGCUAAGUCUCUGGAGGUAGGUGUCAGCUACAAGGAGAAAAGCUGUAUAUUUUGAGAUAUGGGAUGCAGGGCCUUUUAGUUCCAUAAAUAAGAGAACUAUGGUGUGAAUACCACAUGCCCUGGGCUGAACUAAGUGGGCUCUAGGGGAAGGUAUACUGGGCAGGGAGUUUGGAGAACUGGUUUCUGUCUAAUCCUUCUCUAACUCUGUGACCUUGAAUGCAUCAUUUCCCCUCUGAGUCUCAGAUUCUCUUUCUGGCUGGCAUUUAAUGAAACCUAAAUAUUCUAGACCUUCUACUUGUUCCAUAAGUGCUCAGUCCUACACUCACUCUCCUCUGGCACCAAUAUACUGAUUACUCAUUUUAUGCCCAGCAGAGCACUGCGUGUUUUGAAAUAUACAAAUAGUGGGAAACGAAAUCUUUGUUCUGGAUGCAGUUAUAAUUUGGAAAGCGAGGAAAUAAAUUAUAACAAGGGGAAAAAACAGACACAGAGGGAUUGAAAUGCAUAACAAUAGAGAUGAAACACGAAGAGUGAUAAAUGAAGAUUGAGUGUGCACACCUUCUGGAGGAGCCCUGAUUGAGUAUUUUAAAAUACUACUAAAGUCAUGCCGUGUGACUUCUGAAGCUAGCUCCUAAGAAGUCCUUGCAGCUUCUGCCUGCGACUCUUAGAACACUUGCUUUGAAGGAUGCCAGAUGCUGUCUUAAAAGUCUGAGCACUCUGAAACCAUCAUGCUGUGAGGAAGCCCAAGCUAACCACAUGGGCAAAAAAGAUGCCCUCUGACUGCCACCAUUUGAGACACUCUAAUUAAGAACUGCCUCAUUGAGCCCAUGAGGCCCUGUGAAUGAUAAUAAUAAAUUGUUUUUAACCACAAAAAAAAAAAAAAAA